AGCUUUGUGCAGUGGUAGUAUUGUAGCCAGUGAGGUUUAUCUGAGGCACGAUUAUUGCUAAACCUGUAAAAUUGUUCAUUCAGGUUGUCGGCAUGGCCUCAUGACCUACUUAUUUCACUUAUAAUCUCCCGCCAUCCAGUUACAUUUCUGAAUGAUUUUGCCAGUGAUCCUUCAGAAAA
rnacentral:snRNA from 1 species